AAUAAGAGAGUCUUAUUGGUGAAAACCCUCAAGAGCACUAUAAAGCGAUGAAGAGUUGAGAAAGACAAACGAGAGAGUCUUAUCGGUGAAAACCCUCAAGGGCACUAUAAGGCGAUGGUGAGUUGAGAAAAAGGCAAAUAAGAGAGGUCAAUUGGUGAAAACCCACAAAGGGCAUCGUUGAUCGAUUUUAGGUCUUCUCAUAUCCCGGCACAAACAUGGUUAAAGAACUCAGUUUCAUAGAGAAGUUUACACAGAUUUUAAUCGUUGAUCGAUUUUAGGUCUUCUUAUAUCCCGGCACAAGCAUGGUUAAAUAACUCAGUUUUGAAAGUGAGGUUUACUACAGAUUUUGAGAAUUAGACGGUUUAGACGGAUCAGGCAUCCAGCCCAAAGUGCAUGUGAUGUUCAUUGAAGUCAGCAUGUUCCUCCAGAUAAGUCUUUUCUUAUUCUUCCCCUAAAAGGGAAACUUCUUGAUUAAGUUGUAAUUAUUAGUUCACCUAUUUGUUUUCUUUCGUACUAUUAUUUUUGAGUCCCUUUCAGUUUAACUUUGUCAAAGCAAAGCAAAGAAAAGGCCACAAAAUUGGUUACAGUUUCCUCGUUAUAUGAAUAAAAAAUUUCUG
rnacentral:lncRNA from 1 species